rnacentral:rRNA from 1 species
AGCGAACGCUGGCGGCAGGCCUAACACAUGCAAGUCGAACGAACCUUUCGGGGUUAGUGGCGGACGGGUGAGUAACACGUGGGAACGUGCCUUUAGGUUCGGAAUAACUCAGGGAAACUUGUGCUAAUACCGAAUGUGCCCUUCGGGGGAAAGAUUUAUCGCCUUUAGAGCGGCCCGCGUCUGAUUAGCUAGUUGGUUGAGGUAAUGGCUCACCAAGGCGACGAUCAGUAGCUGGUCUGAGAGGAUGAGCAGCCACAUUGGGACUGAGACACGGCCCAAACUCCUACGGGAGGCAGCAGUGGGGAAUCUUGCGCAAUGGGCGAAAGGCUGACGCAGCCAUGCCGCGUGAAUGAUGAAGGUCUUAGGAUUGUAAAAUGCUUUCACCGGGGACGAUAAUGACGGUACCCGGAGAAGAAGCCCCGGCUAACUUCGUG